CACAAACAGAGAGAGCACAGGAGUUAGUCAAAGCACGUGCGCACACACACACGCGCACACACUCACACACACACACACACACACACACACACUCUGUUCCGCUUUACCUUUACAAAAUUCUUUAAACUAAAUUCUUUGUUCCCAGAAUCUGGUGAAUGAGGAACCAAAACACACCAAAGCUGAAAGAGAAACUGACCAAACCCUCUGCCCAGAGACACACACAGCUGACAACUGGAGUGUGUGCAGGAGAUCAGUAAGCUCAGCAGGUUGUAGAUGAUGAAGGUGAAGAUGACGGCUGUGAUCGUACCUCGAGGAAUUGAGACACACAGAGUAAAGUCAGUAAUAAUAUACUGACCGGACAUGUUGGAUCCCGCCAUGAUUCCUGUGCAUCCGUUAAACAUCACUGCAA